rnacentral:tRNA from 1 species
GCCCAGGUGGCGUAAUUGGUAGCCGCGCUAGUCUUAGGAACUAGUGGAGUAAUCCGUGAAGGUUCAAGUCCUUUCCUGGGCA